AUCUUGCGCAAUGGGCGAAAGCCUGACGCAGCGACGCCGCGUGGGGGAUGAAGCUCUUCGGGGUGUAAACCCCUUUCGACCCGGACGAAUGCCCCGCAGGGGGAGUGACGGUACGGGUAGAAGAAGCCCCGGCUAACUACGUGCCAGCAGCCGCGGUAAUACGUAGGUGGCAAGCGUUGUCCGGAUUUAUUGGGCGUACAGGGCGCGCAGGCGGUUCGUUUGGUUCGAGGUGAAAUCUCCCGGCUCAACUGGGAGAGGUCUUCGGAUACCGGCGGACUUGAGGAGAGCAGAGGUGAGUGGAAUUCUGGGUGUAGUGGUGAAAUGCGUAGAUAUCCAGAGGAACACCAGUGGCGAAGGCGACUCACUGGGCUCCACCUGACGCUGAGGCGCGAAAGCGUGGGGAGCGAUC
rnacentral:rRNA from 1 species